ACGGCUCAGUAACACGUCGUUAACCUUCCCUUAGGUCGGGAAUACCCUCGGAAAACUGAGGUUAAAACCCGAUAGGAGAUUAUGUCUGUAAUGAUUUAUCUCUUAAAUUCGUGCCUUAGGAUGGGACGGCGGCGGAUUAGGCUGUUGGCGGGGUAAUGGCCCACCAAACCGAAGAUCCGUACGGGCCUUGAGAGAGGUAGCCCGGAGAAGGACACUGAGAUACUGGUCCUAGCCCUACGGGGUGCAGCAGGCGCGUAACCUCUACAAUGCACGCAAGUGUGAUAGGGGAAUCCCAAGUGCUUAUGCUUUGCAUAGGCUUUUGCCAAGAUUAAAGCUCUUGGCGAAUAAGUGGUGGGAAAGACUGGUGCCAGCCGCCGCGGUAACACCAGCGCCACAAGUGGCAAUCGCGAUUAUUGGGCCUAAAGCGUCCGUAGCCGGUUUAGCAAAUCUUUUGUGAAAUUGUCGGGCUUAACUCGACGAAUGGCAGAAGACACUACUAAACUCGGGACCGGGAGGAGUCAGAAGUAUUCAAGGGGGACCGGUAAAAUGGUAUAAUCCCUUGAGGACUACCGAUGGCGAAGGCAUCUGACCAGAACGGAUCCGACGGUGAGGGACGAAAGCUAGGGUAGCAAACCGGAUUAGAUACCCGAGUAGUCCUAGCUGUAAACGCUGCGAGUUAGGUGUUGCGUAAACUACGGGUUUGCGCAGUGUCGAAAGGAAGCUGUUAAACUCGCCGCCAGGGAAGUACGGUCGCAAGACUGAAACUUUAAGGAAUUGGCGGGGGAGCACA
rnacentral:rRNA from 1 species